UGGGGAAUUUUGGACAAUGGGCGAAAGCCUGAUCCAGCAAUGCCGCGUGUGAAGAAGGCCUUCGGGUUGUAAAGCACUUUUGUCCGGAAAGAAAUCCUUGGCUCUAAUACAGUCGGGGGAUGACGGUACCGGAAGAAUAAGCACCGGCUAACUACGUGCCAGCAGCCGCGGUAAUACGUAGGGUGCAAGCGUUAAUCGGAAUUACUGGGCGUAAAGCGUGCGCAGGCGGUUUGCUAAGACCGAUGUGAAAUCCCCGGGCUCAACCUGGGAACUGCAUUGGUGACUGGCAGGCUAGAGUAUGGCAGAGGGGGGUAGAAUUCCACGUGUAGCAGUGAAAUGCGUAGAGAUGUGGAGGAAUACCGAUGGCGAAGGCAGCCCCCUGGGCCAAUACUGACGCUCAUGCACGAAAGCGUGGGGGGCAAACAGGAUUAGAUACCCUGGUAGUCCACGCCCUAAACGAUGUCAACUAGUUGUUGGGGAUUCAUUUCCUUAGUAACGUAGCUAACGCGUGAAGUUGACCGCCUGGGGAGUACGGUCGCAAGAUUAAAACUCAAAUGAAUUGACGGGGUCAUAGCUGUUUCCU
rnacentral:rRNA from 1 species